AGAUCCCAAGUGUUAGUGGCUUGUGAAUGGGGACCAGGCAAUCUACUAAAAUCUACAAUAUACAGGAUAGCACUCUCCAGAAAGAACUUUCUGGCACCAAAUGCCAAUGUUGUUGAGAUUGAGAAAUCAUACUUUAAGAUGGACAUUAUGCACAUGGUUUGAUAUUUGCUCUGGAGUUCAAAAGAGAGACCAAUGUAAUAGCCACAGUUUUGAAAGAGAUCUCAAGUUGAUCACCAAUCCCUUUAUUUCUUCUGACUGGAUCCACAGAUAGACUAUAUUUUUCAGCUUCCCUUCUGUUAGAUGAGAAUAAUGAACCUGGAAGUCUCACAAAUAUGGCGGAUCCACAGGACAGAAUUGGCCUCAUUACUAAAUCAGCACUUGGAAAAGACAACUACCUCCUCAUUAAGGACAUUUGCUUUGGACCUCUCGUAAUUGUGAAACAAACUGCUAUCUUGAGAAUUGGA